rnacentral:lncRNA from 1 species
GGGGGAUUCGUGAGGGCAUGUUUGACCCGCUGACAAAACAACAGCUUGCCGGCUUGUGUCUGAGGAUUGUCCAGUUUUUAUCGGACAAGCUGAUGCAGAUCAUCAUCCCAGGUCUUUACGAACUACUGGGCAUCCAAGAUGCUGCCUCCUCUCCAUUGUCACAGAGAUCUCUCACAGCGUCACUCACCAGUCUGUUAGACGAUAAGACUAACACCAAGUCCCGCGUGAGAUUUACUGAGGCUGGUGUACCUAAGAGGCCAGGCAGUCGAAAGUCUUACAAUAGCUUUCGCAUCCCGACUCCCUACCCUUCCUCCAACUGUAUGGAGCAGGAAGAGGAAGAAGAGCAGGAAUCACAACUUAAGUUCAAGGAGAUUUACCUGACUAAGGGCAGUGGAAGCUACCUGCCCAAUGGGGCCAUGAGGUAUGUUCUUAAAGGGAAAUUUAACAACUUCAUAUUCAUCUCCAGCAUCACCAUAUGUGAAAAUUACACAUUUCCAUGCUUUGUAGUAAAAAAAAUAUAGAGGGACGUAACUGUUUCCAAUAGUGCUGAGAAAUUAGUGCUUUUUGAGGUUGGUUUGGUUUCGAUUCAAAUAUUUUAAAAAGAAUCACGGUUUUGGAUUUCAAUACUUUUUUUAGACAUUGAAUGCACUAUGGAUUAUGUGUGUUGAAUGCUGUAACAACACAUAAUAAAACAAUGAAUAAAAGUCCCAUGAUGGUAGUGACUGUCCAUUACUGUUUAUGACUUAUCAACCAUCAUUUACUUUCUCAUAUAAAAUAUUUAUUUGAUGACUUUAUUAUUUCAUUCCAAGUCAUCAACUCAUCUCUAUAGAGCUGCUGCUUAUCCUGUCUGACAAAAUCACUAUUUUAGUAGUUCUUCAAAUUAAAUAAGACCUACUUUUAUGACCUACUUUUAGAUCAUGUAUUUCCAGGUAGAGAAUCCUCGCAACGCAACUGCUUUUUAUCUCUCUCAUGCAUUCUCUCGUCUCUCCAUCUCAGUCAAUGAGGUUUCCGUAUCUGCUCCACACAGAGUGGACAAGCAAGUGGGCGUGCAAUGGAUUAUGGAAAUUAAUUGCCAUAUUUUCUGUGCCAAACUAUGUAGAAUAUUGACCUGUUGGAAACUACAACUCCCUACUACAUUACAUAGUUCGUGCUUGAUCUGAUUUAUCUCUACAGAAACUGAGCAUCGAGCUCACAGAAGAAGAAAACAAUUAACUAUAUGGAAUUCAAAUAAUUGAGCCGACGUCGGUCAAUUAGUUGUUUAAAAAACAAGAAAUAACAAAAAUGUUGGUUUUUCACAUAUGCUGAUGUUGGGGUGGUGCUGGAGAUGAUGAAUAUGAAGUUGAAACAUUUAGAAAUUUCCCUUUAACAUUUCUUCAAACUGCCUUGUAUUUAUGAUUGUCCUUGAAGUUAUUAGAAGUUACAGUAUUUGAAGUUUAUAGCAAUUUGGAUUUUUGUAGAGGAUAGAUAUUGCAAGGAUAGAUAGAUAUCUACAGGCCAGUUUCAAUACAAAUGACUUAUACAAAAAAAACAUUUUAUUGGGCUUUAGAAAUUAAGCAGUUAGGCUGACAUCACACUAAGGUUUUUUCUCAGAGAAACAGCAGUGUUUUCCUCAUUGUUUUCAAUGGUGCAGAUGUAUUUGACACACUGAAUGUGCAUCACAGCCUUACAUAUUAUUUGUUUGACUGUGAUGAUUUCUGUUGUUUUUUUCCCCAAGGAUUCUAACCUCUCUGUCUGAUGUGCAGAAAAAAACAACCAACUCUGAGACGCUACAAGUCCUCUUAGGUAUCUCAGAGGACACCCUCGUCACCUGUGUGCAGGACAGCCUGCAAGGUU